rnacentral:rRNA from 1 species
UACGUAGGGUGCGAGCGUUAAUCGGAAUUACUGGGCGUAAAAGUGUGCGCAGGCGGCGCUGCAAGUCGAGUGUGAAAAUCCCCCGAGCUUAACUUGGGAAUUGCGCUCGAAACUACGGCGCUGGAGUAUGGCAGAGGAAGGUGGAAUUCCACGUGUAGCGGUGAAAAUGCGCAGAUAUCAGGAGGAACACCAGUGGCGAAGGCGGCUAACUGGUCCAGAUCUGACGCUGAGGUGCGAAAAGCGUGGGGGAGCAAACAGG